GACUUCAUAGCUGAGUUGAUUUUAGCACCAGACUUUUAAUCUGGGGACGUGGGUUUGAUCCCCACUGGAGUCACAA
rnacentral:tRNA from 1 species